rnacentral:lncRNA from 1 species
CCUACCUAUAUAUCUACAUUGAGUUAUUCAAGAUGAGAAUUUGUACAGAUGACUAGAAUGGGCGAGUAGUAACAGCUUGAAAUACAUGAAGUACUAAGCAAUUAUUUUGGCUCCUACGAAAUACAAACCUCUAUUCAAAUUUGGAAAGAAAAAGAAAACGAAAAAUGAACUAAAAAAUUAACAAAGACGUACUUAAGAAAUUAGCCCAAGUUCAUUAGCAGCUUAAGAAAUUUUUGUCUCCAUGUCCAUAUCUCUGACAUCCGCAGGAAGAAAAAGAAUAGCGUCCAGUGUCUACUUCAAAGAAAAUCAACUAUCACUUUUUUAAACUAAGUUCUAAUGGAGUGCCUUCUAAUGCGACAGAGACACCUAAAAGAACUAGAUAAACGUUUAAUAUAUCGUUAAUAAUAAUUAUCGCCUAUGUAAGAAAUGCAAAAAGAAAAUGCUUUUUAAGUAUUCCCUUUUACCCUAAGAUGACCCAGAUGCAAUUCUAGAAUCAUAUACGAAAUAUAACAUCUGGAAAGCGCAGUUACACUGGCACCAAUAACAAGUACCAAAUACACUACCAAUACAAAUUAAUCCCUUAAAAACUUGAAGAAAAAGUACUCAAUUCAAGCAACUCAAGCAGACAUUCAGAACAACUAAUACGUAAAGUAUACCAAUAUAAACAUAUGCAUAAUCCAGAAUUUGAAUUGGCAGUACCAGAGUUGGAGUCGGCGAGCCCGCUGAGCUUUACAGGUUCCUGUGAGGCGGGCUCCAAAAUAAGAGUUCGGCAACUUUGAUACUGACACCCAUGAGAAUCAUCAGGCAACUGAGGAUUUGAAUAGUGUGAUUUUAAGAAUCCAAAUACAAAGUGUUGAUUGAGAUUCUUCUUUCUGCACAUGGUAAGGACGACGUUUUGGCCCAUCGACCUUGUUAUGGCCCUUAAUGAUAGCAUUUUCACUUGAAAAAUAGGAAGCGCAACAAACAGCAUAUCGGAUAUUUGUGUGCAAGGCGUGAGGCCGAGGAAACGACCAUCCACGGUCCACCAACGAACCACUGCAUGAGAUAGAACAAACGACGUUAACAGGUUGGGAAGCCACAGAGCGGGGAGCACAGCCAGGUGCUCCCAAUCAUUGGGUCAGUCGCAAGCAGACAGGGAAGAUUGGGGAUUUAGCUGCGUUGGGUUGCUUUUUUAUUAUCAUUGUUAUUUGAAUUGGCUGCUGCGUUGAUCGGGCUUCGUCCCCAAGUAGCCUGAAAUUGAAAAGGCAGUGAUCCAUCCAUGGUCCUCUAGCAACGGUCAGGUAGAUAAACUCUACCCUGUGUUGGCUUAGAAACAGUGCAUUUAAAAAUUUUAUUUUGAUGAUUAAAAAGGGAUAGAUUAGAGAUGAAUAUUUAUUAAAAUUUAUUGAAAAAUUUUAAGUAUAUUCAUGAAUUUCUUUUUAGGAGCUAAAAAUAGAAUGAGAUAUUGUGGUGUUUAUUAAACUUUAUUUAAUUUUUUUAGAAUAUACUUAUCAUUUUUUGCAUCUGCGCGUCCUUACUUAGUAUAUUCAUGAAUUU